CCUGGUGGCUCAGAGGGUAAAGCAUCUGCCUGUAAUGCAGGAGACCUGGGUUCGAUCCCUGGGUCAGGA
rnacentral:tRNA from 1 species